UAUGGAGGGGGCUAGCGUUGUUCGGAAUUACUGGGCGUAAAGCGCACGUAGGCGGCUUUGUAAGUUAGAGGUGAAAGCCCAGGGCUUAACCCUGGAAUUGCCUUUAAGACUGCAUCGCUAGAAUCGUGGAGAGGUGAGUGGAAUUCCGAGUGUAGAGGUGAAAUUCGUAGAUAUUCGGAAGAACACCAGUGGCGAAGGCGACUCACUGGACACGUAUUGACGCUGAGGUGCGAAAGCGUGGGGAGCAAACAGG
rnacentral:rRNA from 1 species